CGCGUAGGCGGAUAGAUAAGUUAGAUGUAAAAUCCCUGGGCUUAACCUAGGAAGGUCAUUUAAAACUGUUUAUCUAGAGUGCAGUAGAGGGUAGUGGAAUUUCCGGUGUAGCGGUGAAAUGCGUAGAUAUCGGAAGGAACACCAGUGGCGAAGGCGGCUACCUGGACUGACACUGACGCUGAGGCGCGAAAGCGUGGGUAAGCAAACA
rnacentral:rRNA from 1 species